rnacentral:rRNA from 1 species
UACGAAGGGGGCUAGCGUUGCUCGGAAUUACUGGGCGUAAAGGGCGCGUAGGCGGACAGUUUAGUCAGAGGUGAAAGCCCAGGGCUCAACCUUGGAAUUGCCUUUGAUACUGGCUGUCUUGAGUUCGGGAGAGGUGAGUGGAAUGCCGAGUGUAGAGGUGAAAUUCGUAGAUAUUCGGCGGAACACCAGUGGCGAAGGCGGCGACCUGGGCCAAUAUUGACGCUGAGGUGCGAAAGCGUGGGGAGCAAACAGG